GAUGAACGCUGGCGGCGUGCCUAAUACAUGCAAGUCGAGCGAACAGACGAGGAGCUUGCUCCUCUGACGUUAGCGGCGGACGGGUGAGUAACACGUGGAUAACCUACCUAUAAGACUGGGAUAACUUCGGGAAACCGGCGCUAAUACCGGAUAAUAUAUUGAACCGCAUGGUUCAAUAGUGAAAGACGGUUUUGCUGUCACUUAUAGAUGGAUCCGCGCCGCAUUAGCUAGUUGGUAAGGUAACGGCUUACCAAGGCGACGAUGCGUAGCCGACCUGAGAGGGUGAUCGGCCACACUGGAACGGAGACACGGUCCAGACUCCUACGGGAGGCAGCAGUAGGGAAUCUUCCGCAAUGGGCGAAAGCCUGACGGAGCAACGCCGCGUGAGUGAUGAAGGUCUUCGGAUCGUAAAACUCUGUUAUUAGGGAAGAACAAAUGUGUAAGUAACUAUGCACGUCUUGACGGUACCUAAUCAGAAAGCCACGGCUAACUACGUG
rnacentral:rRNA from 1 species